AGCCCCAAGGUGUUACCACAUAAGAUUGCAAAUCUUAAGAGGCAGGCUAGAUACCUGCUGGGGCUU
rnacentral:tRNA from 1 species